CUGGUGGUCGAUUCUUCCGCACCACGGACUCAUAAUCCGUUGGUCGCGGGUUCGAGCCCCGCCCGCCCCACAA
rnacentral:tRNA from 1 species